CUAGAAACAAGAGGGGAGAAUAAGGACUGCAGGAAGAAGUGCACAACUGCGGGACAUCACGGUGAAGAGCACUAUACUACUGCAUAAAUACACACUGUGCUACAACCUACUUUGGUAGCUAAAGGGUGCUUCCAAUCAUGAUCAAAUAAGAAACAGAUGAUACACACCUCAUAGCAAAUAUGCUUGUCAUAAAUUCACUUGCGGCUGACCUUUUCCACAUUUGAAAAACAAACAAAAAUCUGCCAGUCCAGACUAAUUUGAAUCUGUGGUCUGAUGUCUCCUUCCAAUUCUAUAUCUAUAUGGGGAUUUUUUUUUACAAGGUUUGUUUACAGCAUACCAUCUGGCCUGACUGGAGCCUACAGCACCCUCCGCAUUAGGCUUUGACAAUACUGCCACUUCACAACUAAGAGACUGGCCGGUCACAUACUUGGACUGAGGAAUCCAGAACACGGACAUUGUAUCAAGGUUUUGAGGAUUUCCCAGCCUUCCACUUUUAUCUCAUUUUUUACCUCACAUUGUUAUAUCUAUUUUUCUUUCCCUUGACAUCAAGGACUGGAACUGUUUAUCUAUUGCACAAUCUUGAGGAUUUGAACUAUUUAUCGGAACCAUUAACUUUUAUUUAUUUUUGGAUACAAUUUAUAUCAGGAUCACCAUAAUGUCACCACCAUCUGAUUUUUAUGGACACUAAUUUGGAACUAAUUUGAGUUUCAUUUUAUAACUUUUGGGACGUUUUCUAGGAAUAUAUAUUUGUUUCCUUAUUGUA